CAGACACCCUGUCCUGCAUCCCCGAGCACGCGGGGUCGAGCAGCCAGAAUCGCCGCCGCCACGACACCACGUCCUGCAUCGCAUGCGACCCCUGCUGCCACCAGAUCGGCCCGGUCUUACAUCGCCGGCGAGCGCCGCGCCACCAGGUAGGUCCCAUCGUGCGUCGAGGGCGAGCACCGCCGCUACCAGGUCGGCCCUGUCGUCGUCGUGGACGAGCGCCGCCGCCACCAGGUCGGCCCCGUCGUGCGUCGCCGGCGAGCGACACGGACACUAGGUCGACACAACAUUGAGAGACGUCAUCACCAAUCUCGCCGCCAGAUAUGAAUGGUCAAGCGCUGGCGAGGACAUGAUUUCGAAGUACAUUACUAUUAGUAGUAAUGUGCCGUACCAUUCAGUUCAUUCAUUCUUUGCACCAUGCUCUGUCAGGCUCAAAGUGUUGUGCCGUACCAUUUAGUCCAUUCUUUCUUUGUACUAUGCUCCAGACAGUUAUCCAGACCUACAAUCUACAAACAAAGUCAUACAAGUUGCAAGUAGAAUCCAUGCUUGUUUGCUCAAAUAGCAGACAAAUAUAUGAUUAGAAUAGAGUGAGGGUUCAUGAAAUCCGUGAGACAUAUAUGUUAUUAAUCAUUUCACCUUCUUUUACAUCAAUCCCAACUUUGAAAGUUGCUUUGAAUUUCUUCGACAUUUUCACUUUAGAAAUCUCAAAACCAGUCCGAAAGCAAAAUGAAGCAACAGAAAGAAGGCUAACCUCAGCUUCUGGUUUCCUUAGACUCAAGCAUUUAAUCGCAGGUAUUUGUUUAUACCAGAAUUCCUUCUUCUUUAAUACAAAUUAUAUUAUUCAACUUGUGGGUUAAACUGACACAUUAUACUAGUCAACCUGCACAAAAAUUUAAAAAUUAACAAUGGACCAAUGCAUUUGGAAACAGGAACUAGACAGAGUUGAAGUUGCUCCAGCUGUAACAUGCGCAUGUUUAGACUUUACAAAAGUGAGUGAACUUGCUGGGCAAGUGUGGUUCUAAUCGAAUAAACAGCAAUAGCAAAAUGGGAAGGCAUGUCAAUGCGCACCAAAUUUCACUUUGCUUCAUACUUUGUGCUAUUCUAUGCUUUCGACAACAUCUCCAUACUAACAAGGUCAAAUUCUAGGUGUCCUCCAUGACUGUUGACGCACAUUGCUGAUGUUAUCUUCAUUUCCCGGAUAGUAGCAUCAAGCGAGGCACUCUGUUCUUCUGCUUCCUCCAAAGCAAUAGACAUGGAAGUCAAGCUCUCAGUCAGCCCAGUUAUCUCUUGCUUGCGGACAUGGAUUUUCUGCAGAGCCUCAUACAGACAGCUCUUCAUUGAACUUGGCUUGCUUUUGAACUCCCAAGAUCAGCAACUCUUGCUGGGUUGUAGUUUUGCUAUGUUAUUA